rnacentral:misc_RNA from 1 species
CACGCGUACAGCUUUCGUUGUGUACAUACGUAUAUACACACAUCCCAUCGACUCCUCCGCUCUUCCACCUUUGUGCCUCUCUCGGUUGGGAAUGGCGGCCCUAGGCAGUCUUCCUACCCUCCCUGAGGGACUCACUUACGAUGACGUGCUACUCAUUCCGCAGCGCAGCCCUGUGCGCUCUCGUAAGGCCGUCAACACAAGCACACGCCUCAGCCGCAACAUUCACCUCAAGAUUCCCAUCGUCGCCAGCAACAUGGACACCGUGUGCGAGGACAAGACGGCCGUGACGAUGGCGCGCGAAGGCGGCAUUGGCAUCCUGCACCGCUUCUGUAGCAUUGAGGAACAGUGCGCGAUGGUGCGCAAGGUGAAGCGCGCGCAGUCCUUCCUGAUUGAAGACCCGCGCAUGAUCCUGCCGUCGGCGACAAAGGCAGAGGCUCUCGAGGAGCUGAACUGGUCUGGCCGAAAAGGCGGUGUCAGCUGCCUGAUGGUGGUGGACGACUUCACCAGCCGCCGCCUGUGCGGGGUGCUCAGCAAGAGCGACCUUAUCUUUGCCACCGACUCCGCCCUCGUCGAAACCCUCAUGACGCCGGUGAGCCGAACGGUCGUCUCGACCAACACCGCCAUCACCCUGGAGGAGGCUCGCGAGGUCAUGCGCACGAAGCGGACCAGCAACAUUCCGCUGCUGGGCCCCAAAGGAGAGCUGCUCUACCUCAUCACUCAGUCAGACAUUUUGAAGCUGACUGGCAACCGCAACGCCACUCUUGACUCGCGUGGCCGCCUCAUUGUCGGCGCCGCUAUCGGCGUGAAGAAAGAGGAUCACAAGCGCGCCGCCGCCCUAGUGGAUGCCGGCGCGGACGUGCUCGUCGUGGAUAUCGCGCACGGCCACAGCGACCUCUGCAUCGACAUGGUGAAGGCACUCAAGGUGAACCCGCUCACCAACAAGGUCGACAUCAUCGCCGGCAACAUCGCCACGGCGGAGGCCGCGCAGGACCUCAUCGACGCGGGAGCAGAUGGCUUGAAGAUUGGUGUGGGUCCGGGCAGCAUCUGCAUUACGCGCCUCGUGGCCGGCUCCGGCGUGCCGCAACUGUCUGCUGUGAUGGACUGUGCUCGCGUGGCGAAGAAGCAUGGUGUACCGUGCAUCGCCGACGGUGGCGUCAAGACAGCCGGGGACAUCUGCAAGGCGAUUGCAGCGGGCGCUGACACGGUGAUGUUGGGCAACAUGCUGGCGGGCACAGACGAGGCCCCAGGCCGCGUUCUUGUAAAGGAUGGCAAGAAGGUGAAGAUCAUUCGUGGCAUGGCUGGCUUUGGCGCGAACAUCAGCAAGGCGGAGCGCGAAAAGCGCCUUGACGAGGACGUCUUUAAUGAUCUCGUGCCGGAGGGUGUGGAGGGCAGCGUGCCCUGCAAGGGCCCCCUCGCUCCGAUUCUAAAGCAACUUGUCGGUGGCCUGCGCUCCGGCAUCUCGUACUGCGGCUCCCACAGCAUUGCCGAUAUGCAGCAGCGCGCAAGGUUUGUGCGCAUGUCGGGCGCCGGUUUGCGGGAGAGCGGCAGCCACGAUAUCUCGAAGCUGUAAAGGAGUCUUAUGGCAGCGCCUACAUACACAGACACAUACACACACACAGACACGCAUAAACGCCAUAAGCGGGCAGCAACGUUCUUUGCGGACUUGGUCUUGUGCAGCUUCUCUGAGUGGGGCGGUCAGGGUACCGGGAGUUCACCGCAAGCAGUUGACGCCGUGCAGUGCCUCCUCCCUCUCCUUCCCUGCUUCCGUCCUCUUGCUCCCCGCAGGUGAAGUAUCUUUGCACAGGUGUCGGUGGUUGCGCGUUGGAGUGUGUGGCGUCCAUCUUCUGUCGUUGCACCAUCUCUCAUUCUGUGUGUGUGUGUGUCUGUGUGUGUGUGUCUGUGUGUGUGUGUCUGUGUGUGUGUGUCUCGGUGUUCUCCUUCCGCUGAUGCGAUCAAGACAGAGAAGCGGGAGGAGAGACCUAAC